AGUGAACGCUGGCGGUAGGCCUAACACAUGCAAGUCGAACGGCAGCACAGUAAGAGCUUGCUCUUACGGGUGGCGAGUGGCGGACGGGUGAGGAAUACAUCGGAAUCUACUUUUUCGUGGGGGAUAACGUAGGGAAACUUACGCUAAUACCGCAUACGACCUACGGGUGAAAGCAGGGGAUCUUCGGACCUUGCGCGAUUGAAUGAGCCGAUGUCGGAUUAGCUAGUUGGCGGGGUAAAGGCCCACCAAGGCGACGAUCCGUAGCUGGGCUGAGAGGAUGAUCAGCCACACUGGAACUGAGACACGGUCCAGACUCCUACGGGAGGCAGCAGUGGGGAAUAUUGGACAAUGGGCGCAAGCCUGAUCCAGCCAUACCGCGUGGGUGAAGAAGGCCUUCGGGUUGUAAAGCCCUUUUGCUGGGAAAGAAAAGCAGCAGGUUAAUACCCCGCUGUUCUGACGGUACCCAAAGAAUAAGCACCGGCUAACUUCGU
rnacentral:rRNA from 1 species